GGGGGUUAGCUCAGUGGUUAGAGCUGCGGUCUUGAGACCAGAAGGUCCCGGGAUCGAAUCUCGCCAGAGGUUUUCA
rnacentral:tRNA from 1 species